UCGUGAUCCGCGGGCCUCGGCCUCCCAAAGUGCUGGGAUUACAGGCAUGAGCCACCGCACCCAGCCGAAAAUGCCAAUAUUUCUUAAAAAGCAAGUUUUAAAUCUAAAAUAUUUUUGCUUUAGGACAUUUAGAAAAUAUAGGAAAAUAUGAAAUAUUCCACUAGCCAGAGAAGGCCAUAAAAAUCAUAUACUAUACAUAAUUUUAUAUCCUAUGAAAUACCAAUACCUACUGAAAUACUAAGUGUUCUAUAUUUAAAUAUGUGUACUGAAAUUUGGACCUAUUUGUAAUCUUUUUAGAUCAAAACUUAAAAUUGAAGACAUAAAAGAAGCCAACAAAGCAUUGCAGGGACUGGUUUGGCUGAAAGACAAAGAAGCAACACAUUGUAAACUUUGUGAAAAGGAAUUCUCACUCUCUAAGAGAAAGCACCACUGUAGAAAUUGUGGGGAAAUUUUCUGUAAUGCCUGCUCUGACAACGAACUACCUUUGCCUUCUUCACCAAAACCAGUACGGGUUUGUGAUUCCUGUCAUGCACUGCUCAUUCAGAGAUGCUCAUCUAACUUGCCCUGAGACUCCAGAACUAAAUCCUUAUGUAUGAAAUUACC
rnacentral:lncRNA from 10 species